rnacentral:rRNA from 1 species
CCUACGGGUGGCUGCAGUGGGGAAUAUUGGACAAUGGGCGAAAGCCUGAUCCAGCCAUGCCGCGUGUGUGAAGAAGGCCUUCGGGUUGUAAAGCACUUUCAGUGGGGAAGAAAGCCUUGGGGCUAAUACCCUCGAGGAAGGACAUCACCCACAGAAGAAGCACCGGCUAACUCCGUGCCAGCAGCCGCGGUAAUACGGAGGGUGCGAGCGUUAAUCGGAAUUACUGGGCGUAAAGCGCGCGUAGGCGGUCUGAUAAGCCGGUUGUGAAAGCCCCGGGCUCAACCUGGGAACGGCAUCCGGAACUGUCAGGCUAGAGUGCAGGAGAGGAAGGUAGAAUUCCCGGUGUAGCGGUGAAAUGCGUAGAGAUCGGGAGGAAUACCAGUGUCGAAGGCGGCCUUCUGGACUGACACUGACGCUGAGGUGCGAAAGCGUGGGUAGCAAACAGGAUUAGAUACCCCGGUAGUC